AUGAUUAUUGCAGGAGAGAUAUUCUUGCAAAGGAUACGCCGAAGGAGCAACGACCCCGGAAACUCUCAGGCAGAAGGACUGUAAUAAUCGA
rnacentral:ncRNA from 17 species